rnacentral:tRNA from 3 species
GCCACGGUAGCUCAGUCGGUAGAGCACGGGACUCAUAAGCCCGGGGUCGCCAGUUCAAUCCUGGCCCGUGGCACCA